rnacentral:lncRNA from 1 species
GUCUUAUCCUUCUGCUGAGCCUCAGAAAAGCUCUGCAUCAUCAUGGUCUUUUCGGCAGCAGAAAGCCUCAGAGCGCUGGAAAGAAGCAAGACCAUACCACCUAAAAUGCCUUAUUGCAAAAGAGGCUGUUGGUCAGCCAUUGUGUUGGCUUUGCCAUGAGCCUGCUGUUAUUAGGUGCAGAAAGUGUCUUCCUGAGGAGUGGUUCUGUGGGGACUGUGAUGUAUUGCAUCACAAAAAACAGCCACUCCACAACAGGGAAUGUGUGAAUAAUGUUUUUUUUUAAGCCAUUCCUCCAACCUCAUGUGUCAUUAAGGGCAAGAUGGAUAUUUCAUCCAUGAGCAAGCUUGCAUUUUGCCAACAGUGAAGGCGCCAGACUGCUCCUGUGAAGGCACAAACUUCACCAUAUUACCGGGCAAACCAGUGAUUUUAAUUACCAUCAAUGGGCGUUUUGACUUGCAUCAGCCACUAUAUGUAUGUCAAAUGUGCCAGCAUCAGUGGAUCCCUGACUUGAAGGACCUCCUUAGGAGUGGAUAUUGGCCUGCCUCUGUCACCAGUUCCACACUUUAUACAUUGGACCUCCUGAGCUCCUUUCAGGAACUCAAGGUCAUCUCUCCGGGAUUCUCCAGACAAG